rnacentral:tRNA from 1 species
GGAGCAUUACUCAAGUGGUUGAAGAGAACAGUCUUGAAAACUGUGAGGCCGGUAAUCCCGGUGCGGGGGUUCGAAUCCCUCAUGCUCCG